CCUCUCGUGGCUUGGUGGGGAGAGUCUUGGUGCUUAAAGCCAGGAGUCCCGGGUUCAAUUCCCGGCGAGGGUA
rnacentral:tRNA from 1 species